AUUGAACGCUGGCGGCAUGCCUUACACAUGCAAGUCGAACGGUAACGGGCCUUCGGGUGCCGACGAGUGGCGAACGGGUGAGUAAUGCAUCGGAACGUACCUUUCAGUGGGGGAUAACGUAGCGAAAGUUACGCUAAUACCGCAUAUUCUGUGAGCAGGAAAGCAGGGGAUCGCAAGACCUUGCGCUGAUUGAGCGGCCGAUAUCAGAUUAGCUAGUUGGUGAGGUAAAGGCUCACCAAGGCGACGAUCUGUAGCGGGUCUGAGAGGAUGAUCCGCCACACUGGAACUGAGACACGGUCCAGACUCCUACGGGAGGCAGCAGUGGGGAAUUUUAGACAAUGGGGGCAACCCUGAUCCAGCCAUGCCGCGUGAGUGAAGAAGGCCU
rnacentral:rRNA from 1 species